AAAAUAUUCCAGCUUUCGAUUCGUUUUUGAAUCCAGUUUUGAAUGGGCUCGAUGAACAAAACUCGGAAGCAUUGAAAUAUUUACAAUCCAAUUCGCUGUUUGAUUGGAUAAUGCCUGAAGGAUUUGGAGAGGAUGCUUUUUUUGAACAUGCAAAUUCUGUUUUGAAAGAUUUAGACAAAAAAAAAUUAAAGAUAUUGAAGUUAAAAAAUGAUUGGACGAAUACUGUAGAUUUAUUUUUCUCUGAUGAUCCUCAAAAUAUAUUUUCUAAUGUUAGCAUGUUACUG